rnacentral:rRNA from 1 species
AGAGUUUGAUCCUGGCUCAGAAUGAACGCUAGCGGCGUGCCUGAGAUAUGCAAGUCGAGCGGGCCCCUCACCAUUUUUCGUAUUAUUAGCAACAAGACUCGAUCUUAUAGCUAAUCUUUUACGAUAGGGAAAAUGGUGAGGGGUCAGCGGCGGACGGCUGAGUAACGCGUAAGAAUCUCCCCCAAAGUCUCACAUAGCUCACCGAAAGGUGGGGUAAUUUGAGAUAGUCCCCUCACCAUCUGUACAUUUCAUUGAGAUUAGAUACUAAAAGUUUUGUUUAAAAAAACAACUCUUUGAGUCCGAUUUCAAUAAUGGAGUUUACAGAUGGUGAGGGGUAAAGACUGCCGAUUCGGCAGGCGCUUUGGGAUGAGCUUGCGUCCUAUCAGGUAGUUGGUGGGGUAAAAGCCUACCAAGCCUACGACGGGUAGCUGAUCUCAUGAGGAUGAUCAGCCAGAGGGGGACUGAGACACGGCCCCCACUCCUACGGGAGGCAGCAAUCAGGAAUAGUCGGCAAUGGACGAAAGUCUGACCGCGCGACGCCGCGUGUGGGAUGAAGCUCCACAAGAGUGUAAACCACUGUGGUAGGGGAAGAGAAUGGACGGUACCCUACUAGAAAGUAGCCGCUAACUGCGUGCCAGAAGCGUCGGUAAUACGUGGGCUACAAGCGUUAUUCGGUGUUAUUGGGCGUAAAGGGUCGUGUAGGCUGAUCGAUAAGUCACUUUUCAAAUCUUUGGGCUUAACUCAAAAACUGGGAGUGAUACUGCUGAUCUAGAAGUAUCUUUAGGGAGAACGGAACUGUGGGAGGAGUAGUGAAAUGCGUUGAUACCCACGGGAACACCAGUGGCGAAGGCGGUUCUCUAUGAGAUUCUUGACGCUGAGACACGAAAGUUAGGGGAGCGAAGCAGAUUAGAGACCUGCGUAGUCCUAACUGUAAACGAAUGUAUGCUAGCUGCAUGAUUCCCCUCACCAUUUUUUACAACUUGGUUUUAAUUCAGAUAAUAGGAAGACGAAGUCGCAUCCGCGACAGUUCACUCUGAUUCACGAUAAUUGUUGUUGAAAAUGGUGAGGGGUUUCGUGUGGCGAAGGUAACCCGUUAAGCAUACCGCCUGGGGAGUACGGCCGCAAGGUUGAAACUCAAAGGAAUUGGCGGGGAGGCACACAACCAGAGGAACAUGUGGUUUAAUUCGAUACGAAACGAAGAACCUUACCAAGGCUUGACAUGCUACCGUUUUAGUCCGCAAGAAACUGUGGAUGAUCCGCAAGGAUGGUAGCACCGGUGAUGCAUGGCUGUCGUCAGUUCGUUCCGUGAGGAGUGCCCUUAAGUGGGACAACGA